GUGCACUUAUCCUUUGGUCUUCCACAGAAUGUGAGACCCAGGACCCCAGCUCCUUGCUGAUCGCUGGCCAGAGGUUGCCUCAGUCUCAUUCCGUGUGACAUAAAGAAAUGUCUAUCUUGGGUUUGAUGCAAACCAGACACUCAGGAGAAAGCUGGCAAAUGAACGGCUUCAAGACUACUUACAGCAGAUCUACAAAUUUUCAGAUUACAGCUGAUAGUUGGCAACUCAAGUGUGGGAAUCGAAGCCACAGACAAAGAAGAGCUAGUGUAACUGAAAAAGUCACCUAGAACCGUGAUCACUGCUGAAGGCCCCCUCCCCAUCUCAGAAGGUAAAAUGAAGCAUGCCUGGCUUCAAAACUGUGGGCUGUGGCAGUGCAUGCCCACAGCCCCAGAAGACACCUGCCUUUAAAAAUACAGGCUGUGGCGAUACAUGCCUAUAACCCCAGAACUCAGAAAGUUGAAGCAGGAGCACCAACAGACCAGCCUAGGCUGCACAGUACAUCCCUGUCUUAAAUAAUAACAAAUAAAUAAACAACCUGAGUUGGACAGACAUGCGGGUCCUUGACUGUCCUAGCAUUGUUUCAGCCAUGUGAG